UGGGGAAUAUUGGACAAUGGGCGAAAGCCUGAUCCAGCCAUGCCGCGUGUGUGAAGAAGGUCUUCGGAUUGUAAAGCACUUUAAGUUGGGAGGAAGGGCAGUAAGCGAAUACCUUGCUGUUUUGACGUUACCGACAGAAUAAGCACCGGCUAACUCUGUGCCAGCAGCCGCGGUAAUACAGAGGGUGCAAGCGUUAAUCGGAAUUACUGGGCGUAAAGCGCGCGUAGGUGGUUCGUUAAGUUGAAUGUGAAAGCCCCGGGCUCAACCUGGGAACUGCAUCCAAAACUGGCGAGCGAGAGUAGGGCAGAGGGUGGUGGAAUUUCCUGUGUAGCGGUGAAAUGCGUAGAUAUAGGAAGGAACACAAGUGGCGAAGGCGACCACCUGGGCUCAUACUGACACUGAGGUGCGAAAGCGUGGGGAGCAAACAGG
rnacentral:rRNA from 1 species